rnacentral:rRNA from 1 species
GACGAACGCUGGCGGCAUGCUUAACACAUGCAAGUCGAACGGAAAGGCCCUGCUUUUGUGGGGUGCUCGAGUGGCGAACGGGUGAGUAACACGUGAGUAACCUGCCCUUGACUUUGGGAUAACUUCAGGAAACUGGGGCUAAUACCGGAUAGGAGCUCCUGCUGCAUGGUGGGGGUUGGAAAGUUUCGGCGGUUGGGGAUGGACUCGCGGCUUAUCAGCUUGUUGGUGGGGUAGUGGCUUACCAAGGCUUUGACGGGUAGCCGGCCUGAGAGGGUGACCGGCCACAUUGGGACUGAGAUACGGCCCAGACUCCUACGGGAGGCAGCAGUGGGGAAUAUUGCACAAUGGGCGGAAGCCUGAUGCAGCAACGCCGCGUGCGGGAUGACGGCCUUCGGGUUGUAAACCGCUUUCGCCUGUGACGAAGCGUGAGUGACGGUAAUGGGUAAAGAAGCACCGGCUAACUACGUGCCAGCAGCCGCGGUGAUACGUAGGGUGCGAGCGUUGUCCGGAUUUAUUGGGCGUAAAGGGCUCGUAGGUGGUUGAUCGCGUCGGAAGUGUAAUCUUGGGGCUUAACCCUGAGCGUGCUUUCGAUACGGGUUGACUUGAGGAAGGUAGGGGAGAAUGGAAUUCCUGGUGGAGCGGUGGAAUGCGCAGAUAUCAGGAGGAACACCAGUGGCGAAGGCGGUUCUCUGGGCCUUUCCUGCCGCUGAGGAGCGAAAGCGUGGGGAGCGAACAGGCUUAGAUACCCUGGUAGUCCACGCUGUAAACGGUGGGUACUAGGUGUGGGGUCCAUUCCACGGGUUCCGUGCCGUAGCUAACGCUUUAAGUACCCCGCCUGGGGAGUACGGCCGCAAGGCUAAAACUCAAAGGAAUUGACGGGGCCCCGCACAAGCGGCGGAGCAUGCGGAUUAAUUCGAUGCAACGCGUAGAACCUUACCUGGGUUUGACAUGGAUCGGGAGUGCUCAGAGAUGGGUGUGCCUCUUUUGGGGUCGGUUCACAGGUGGUGCAUGGCUGUCGUCAGCUCGUGUCGUGAGAUGUUGGGUUAAGUCCCGCAACGAGCGCAACCCUUGUUCACUGUUGCCAGCACGUUAUGGUGGGGACUCAGUGGAGACCGCCGGAGUCAACUCGGAGGAAGGUGGGGAUGACGUCAAGUCAUCAUGCCCCUUAUGUCCAGGGCUUCACGCAUGCUACAAUGGCUGGUACAGAGAGUGGCGAGCCUGUGAGGGUGAGCGAAUCUCGGAAAGCCGGUCUCAGUUCGGAUUGGGGUCUGCAACUCGACCUCAUGAAGUCGGAGUCGCUAGUAAUCGCAGAUCAGCAACGCUGCGGUGAAUACGUUCCCGGG